rnacentral:rRNA from 1 species
CCACGCCGUAAACGAUGUCGACUUGGAGGUUGUGGCUUCCGGAGCUAACGCGUUAAGUCGACCGCCUGGGGAGUACGGCCGCAAGGUUAAAACUCAAAUGAAUUGACGGGGGCCCGCACAAGCGGUGGAGCAUGUGGUUUAAUUCGAUGCAACGCGAAGAACCUUACCUGGUCUUGACAUCCAGGUGCUGCAUGGCUGUCGUCAGCUCGUGUUGUGAAAUGUUGGGUUAAGUCCCGCAACGAGCGCAACCCUUAUCCUUUGUUGCAACUCAAAGGAGACUGCCAGUGAUAAACUGGAGGAAGGUGGGGAUGACGUCAAGUCAUCAUGGCCCUUACGACCAGGGCUACACACGUGCUACAAUGGCGCAUACAAAGAGAAGCGACCUCGCGAGAGCAAGCGGACCUCAUAAAGUGCGUCGUAGUCCGGAUUGGAGUCUGCAACUCGACUCCAUGAAGUCGGAAUCGCUAGUAAUCGUGGAUCAGAUGCCACGGUGAAUACGUUCCCGGGCCUUGUACACACCGCCCGUCACACCAUGGGAGUGGGUUGCAAAAGAAGUAGGUUACCACUUUGUGAUUCAUGACUGGGGUGAAGUCGUAACAAGUAACGAAG